UCGCGGAUGGCCGUGACAGGGUCUAUUUUUAGCCACGGCGAGAUAAGCGCGGCGGGGAGAGAACGGCUGAAAGGAGAGAGACCGGGAAUGAGACAGAAAGUGAGGGGAAUGCCGUGGAUGAGACAGAGACGAGCAGAUAGGACCAAGAGUGGGACAGCCAGUAGCGUAACCGGAUGGCAUUUUAGUAGGCACUUGGAAAAAACACCUGUUUAAUUAACUCUCUGCCCGCGCGGUGAUCGACGAAACUGAACAACCAAAAACUACUGUAUUGCUUGACGAUUGUGCCUUCAACAACCGGUUGCAUCUAUCUGUUGCACGUGUAAGGAGUGCAGACAGACGCGAGUAACAUAUGGAAACGUUAACCGAUUAAACAGCGAGUCGUGGAAAUGCUAGUUACAUACUAGAGAAUCCGUGACAACAGCCAGUUUGGUCGUAGAUGAAAGAUUGCCAAGCGUUCGCUCGUAUGCACAUGCAUAUAUAUAUAUAUAUAUAUAUAUAUCUUCAGGCGACAAAACGCUUCCACACCGGAGUUACAAUUUUCGAUUCUUAUCCAUGCAAAUUGCUGGAACAUUCGGUUCGACGCGGUACGUAUUUCACGCUCCAAUUAUACAACUGUCGUUAUCGAAACCUAAAACUGCUAAUCUUCGAAACUGAUUCAAUUACGUCACUGCGACAGGGGAACGACGGAGUAUCGUUGGAAUGGAAACGACACCAAAGCCGUGAGAGGGGCGUCGAGGGGAGACGAAAGAGCCAGAGGGAAAGAGAGAAAGAGACGGAAUCAAAGAACUAAUUAUACGUGACGUCACUCGACUGGUUUCAACACAGAGAGUCGAGUGCAACAAGUCGAGACUCGACGAGUCAAGUGGGCCAGAAAAAUGAGGUGGGAGGUGGUAAAAAUAGAACUCCCGAACUUUAUGGACGGUAAAUCACAGUGGUCUCUCGCUAGGCCCGUUGCCAUUGCCAACGUCCCGUUCGACUUGGACUGACCAGCUCAUUAACCGUAAUAUAACCAACGGUGACGAAUAGGAAAUUCAAUGGCUAUCUUAUAUUGGACAGAGGGAAGACAGUUCAUGGAACGAAUUAUACACACAUAUAUGUAUAUUAUAUAUCAUAAAAGUAGUGUUAUAAUUAUGAAAGUAGAAACUAAGAAACUUUGACUUUAUCAC